AGACGGCGGGGGCUAGCGUUGUUCGGAAUUACUGGGCGUAAAGCGCGCGUAGGCGGCCGUUCAAGUUGGGCGUGAAAGCCCCGGGCUCAACCUGGGAAUUGCAUUCGAAACUGCCUGGCUAGAGUAUGGGAGAGGGAAGCGGAAUUUCCGGUGUAGCGGUGAAAUGCGUAGAUAUCGGAAGGAACACCAGUGGCGAAGGCGGCUUCCUGGCCCAAUACUGACGCUCAGGUGCGAAAGCGUGGGUAGCGAACAGGAUUAGAAACCCCAGUAGUCC
rnacentral:rRNA from 1 species